AGGAGCUACAGGGGUAUGAGAAGCGGGUGCCGGAGCCUCGCCGCGCGGAGGGGGUCAGUCAGGAGGUGGUGAUGGGAUUCAUGUGGCUUGGAGUUGAACUGGCCCAAAGGUGACAUGUCUCGAAAUGGAAUUUCGGAAUCAAGCCGGGUCUCUGACAGUCUCUAUUCCGAUUCCUGAGCCAGGCAGAGAGGGACAAUGCUCUGGAGCGAACGUUGCUGAGAUGGAAGAACAGAACAAUUGAUAAUAAACCCGGCAUACAUUGCUUGCGUCGUCUCAAAGCGUUUCACACAGACCUUGGCUUAGAGUCUCACCAACAAUGUCAUGCUCCCUCCAGCACUUGCACUGGAGCAUCAGCCUGGAUUGCGAACCCAGAGUAAAGUGUAGUGACUGUAUGUGACAUGGGAGGCACCUUCACCUAAGUGCAUUUUUCUCUCUCUCUUCCCCCCCCCCGGUAACUACAUUGUUACAUCGCCUGCAUCGUCUUAAAGCGCUUCACUUGGAAUUGCUUUGAGAUGUCCUCUCGAAGGCAAUGUGUAUUGAAUUUGGUCAGAGACUCAGAUGAUCAAUUGUGGUGUUGGGUGCGAGUUAAAGGAGAAUUGACAGAAACUCACUGUGAGGUCAGCCGGGUUGUAAAUCCUUUUAAACCAGAACAGUUUAGCAGGAAGGCAUGGGUGGUGAGGAAAUAAAUAUUAGCAAUAGACGCCUUUGCCCUACAAAAACAAUCCAGCAAAAUACACAUGGCUGGCUGGAUGGGGGCACUCAGCAAAGGGGAGGCGUGGGAAGGAGGUGGAUGGAUUAAGAGAGGAAAAGGGAAAAAAAAGGCACACAAAAUAGUCUCCUUUGCAUUUACAAAUAGAAUAAUUCCUGGUUUUGAUUUAGUUUUGACAGUUUGAUUUAGUUUUGACAGUUUUUCUCCUUUAAAACAUAGUUGUGUUGGUUCCGAAUGAAUGGGUCUCACUACUGUACCACGUCCGUCAGUAUUACUUUUUUUAAAAAGAAAAAAGAAAAUAAAGAUUUGUUGUGUUUGGAUACAGAAAGUGCAGCCUAACCCGGGAUUUGGGGGCAUUUUAUUCAAAAGAGAGUUUAUUCCGAGCCCCCUGUUUCCCUCCUCCGGCGGAUAUUUGAGAAUCUUGGGUUUUAGCAGGAUAAAUAGCUCAGAGUUUCCCCUUGGAACGGACAGAAUUCUAAAUACUUCUCCAAGGAACAUAAACACUGAGGGAUAUCAUUCCUGCCUCUCUUUUUCAGGCUGACGGGAAAAAAAAUUGCUGAGUGCUCCUAAAAACCUGCCGGCGACAUGUUAACCCUUUCUAAGCCCACACUUACACUAGAUUUAGGCUUUAUGACCCCAGUUAGGCUGCACCCGCAUUCAAUAAAACUUCAUUUUAAUUUACAUUUGGAAUAGCACCAUAUCAUGUUGAAAUGUCUCAA